CCGUGUGCGUAUUGCUGCGCUUAUAGCCUACUGCCGUGUGCGUAUUGCUGCGCUUAUAGCCUACUGCCGUGUGCGUAUUGCUGCGCUUAUAGCCUACUGCCGUGUGCGUAUUGCUGCGCUUAUAGCCUACUGCCGUGUGCGUAUUGCUGCGCUUAUAGCCUACUGCCGUGUGCGUAUUGCUGCGCUUAUAGCCUACUGCCGUGUGCGUAUUGCUGCGCUUAUAGCCUACUGCCGUGUGCGUAUUGCUGCGCUUAUAAAGGUGAAGAAAUAGCCUAAUAGUUUAUCAACAUUUUAAGAAAAAAUGUUCUGAUCUGUUGUUUCAGCCUCAUUGAUUCUCUAAAGUUUUUUUUGAUGCAAAUAGUUGUAUUAAUUUGGUAUUUAAACGCAACCCACAACUGUCCCAGACGAUGUUUGGAAUAUUUCUCUCUUGGACCAAUAGAAUAGGUCAACUUUAUAACUAUGGGGGGUAGUGGGGCGGCAGAUAGCCGAGUGGUUAGAGCGUUGAACUUGUAACCGAAAGGUUGCAAGAUCGAAUCUCUGAGCUCACAAGGUAAAAAAUCUGUUAUUCUGCCCCUGAACAAGGCAGUUAAUCCACUGUUCCCCGGUAGACUGUCAUUGAAAAUACGAAUGUGUUAUUAACUGACUUGCCUAGUUAAAUAAAAAGGUCAAAUGAAAAAAAUUGUAGAUUGACAUAGGCUAGUACUUUCGCUCUUCGUUAGGCCUACUCAUCUUGUUAGCUGACGAAAAGUAAACGUGGACAGUUCUAGCAUCUUCAAUAUGCACCUCGGAAUUUGAUAAGAUUGAUUAGCGCAGUUGCGUCCUCGAUGUGUCUUGUCUUCACUUAUAGCCUACUUCAGAGCUGAGAUAGAUGCCUGUAAGAAGAACCCGAUCACGUUGCGGGCAUUGGCUAAUAAGAAUUGAGAUAUCUGAGAACCAUGUGAGUGAAAGGUGCGUCGGAACAUGCAGCCGGGAGAAGAGAAUUAUAAUUACUAUAUUCAGCCCAAGGGCACAACAGCCACAAAAUGCAUGUUUUUAUUUCAAUUUUAUUACGGGGCAUUACGGCCACACUAGAGGGAUGCCGCCGGGAAAUUCGAGGCACUAUCAAGUGCUUGUCAGAUUGUGAAUGGGAGACUGAUGAAGUGUUAACAGCCUGCUCAAAAAACAAAGAGCUCAUGUCUUUCAUGCAAGUCGCAUCAUGCAGACUUACAAUGUAUUAAAAAUCAAAACAUAUAGCCCAACGUUUGACAACGUAUCACAACUAAAGUUGCAUAUAUACAGUUGAAGUCUGAGGUUUACAUACACUUCGGUUGGAGUCAUUAAAACUAGUUUUUCAACCACUCCACACAUUUCUUGUUAUCGAACUAUAGUUUUGGCAAGUCAGUUAGGACAUCUAUUUUGUGCACGAUACAAGUCAUUUUUCCAACCAUUGUUUACAGACAGAUUAUAAUCACAAUUCCAGUGGGUCGGAAGUUUACAUACACUAAGUUGACUGUGCCUUUAAACAGCUUAGAAAAUUCCAGAAAAUUAUGUCAUGGCUUUCGAAGCUUCUGAUAGACUAAUUGACAUCAUUUGAGUCUGUGGGUCUGUGGAUGUAUUUCAAGGCCUACCUUCAAACUCAGUGCCUCUUUGCUUGACAGCAUGGGAAAAUCAAAAGAAAUCAGCCAAGACCUCAGAAAAAAAUUGUAGAUCUCCACAAGUCUGGUUCAUCCUGAGGAGCAAUUUCCAAACACCUGAAGGUACCAAGUUCAUCUGUACAAGCAAUAGUAUGCAAGUAUAAACACCAUGGGACCACGCAGCCGUCAUACCGCUCAGGAAGGAGACACGUUCUGUCUCCUAGAGAUGAACAUACUUUGGUGUGAAAAGUGCAAAUCAAUCCCAGAACAACAGCAAAGGACCUUGUGAAGAUGCUGGAGGAAACGGGUACAAAAGUAUCUAUAUCCACAGUAAAACGAGUCCUAUAUCGACAUGACCUGAAAGGCUGCUCAGCAAGGAAGAAGCCACUGCUCCAAAACCGUCAUAAAAAAUCCAGACUACGGUUUGCAACUGCAUAUGGGGACAAAGAUUGUACUUUUUGGAGAAAUGUCCUCUGGUCUGAUGUAACAAAAAUAGAACCGUUUGGUCAUAAUGACCAUUGUUAUGUUUGGAGGGAAAAGGGGGAGGCUUGCAAGCCAAAGAACACCAUCCCAACCGUGAAGCACCGGGGUGGCAGAAUCAUGUUGUGGGGGUGCUUUGCUGCAGGAGGGACUGGUGCACUUCACAAAAUAGAUGGUAUCAUGAGCAGGAACAUUAUGUGGAUAUAUUGAAGCAUCAUCUCAAGACAUCAGUCAGGAAGUUAAAGCUUGGUCGCAAAUGGGUCUUCCAAAUGGACAAUGACCCCAAGCAUACUUCCAAAGUUGUGGCAAAAUGGCUUAAGGACAACAAAGUCAAGGUUUUGAGUGGCAAUCACAAAGCCCUGACCUCAAUCCUAUAGAACAUUUGUGGGCAGAACUGAAAAAGCGUAUGCGAGCAAGGAGGCUUACAAACCUGACUAAGUUACCAGCUCUGUCAGGAGGAAUGGGCCAAAAUUCACCCAACUUAUUGUGGGAAGCUUAUGGAAGGCUACCCGAAACGUUUGACCGAAGUUAAACAAUUUAAAGGCAAUGCUACCAAAUAUUAAUUGAGUAUAUGUAACCUUCUGACCCACUGGGAAUGUGAUAAAAUAAAUAAAAGCUGAAAUAAAUCCUUCUCGCUACUAUUAUUCUGACAUUUCACAUUCUUAAAAUAAAGUGGUGAUCCUAACUGACCUAAAACAGGGAAUACUUACUAGGAUUAAAUGUCAGGAAUUGUGAAAACUGAGUUUAAAUGUAUUUCGCUAAGGUGUAUGUAAACUUCCGACUUCAACUGUAACUCUAAUUGAAGCAUGUAGGAGGACAUGUUUCUUUGUUAAACUGCUCAACACAGAAUAGCCACAUGUGUGCACUCCCAUAAGGACAAUUGAGUAUGCUAUUCUGUUCUUCUGAAAUAUACUUAAUUUUCUUCAUAUCAUGUUCCUUUAGACCUGUCUAAAAUAAAUCAUGGAUUUAUUGUGAUGGUGUCGGCUAUAUUAAAUUGAUUUAAUAGACUUUUUAAACAAUGUAGAUGUUCCAAAAGGUCUUCAUCAGUGUGGAAGCCAGGAGAUACUAACAAUGUAGAUGUUCCAGAGGUCUUCAUCAGUGUGGAAGCCAGGAGAUACUAACAAUGUAGAUGUUCCAGAGGUCUUCAUCAGUGUGGAAGCCAGGAGAUACUAACAAUGUAGAUGUUCCAGAGGUCUUCAUCAGUGUGGAAGCCAGGAGAUACUAACAAUGUAGAUGUUCCAAAAGGUCUUCAUCAGUGUGGAAGCCAGGAGAUACUAACAAUGUAGAUGUUCCAGAGGUCUUCAUCAGUGUGGAAGCCAGGAGAUGCUAACAAUGUAGAUGUUCCAGAGGUCUUCAUCAGUGUGGAAGCCAGGAGAUACUAACAAUGUAGAUGUUCCAGAGGUCUUCAUCAGUGUGGAAGCCAGGAGAUGCUAACAAUGUAGAUGUUCCAAAGGUCUUCAUCAGUGUGGAAGCCAGGAGAUGCUAACAAUGUAGAUGUUCCAGAGGUCUUCAUCAGUGUGGAAGCCAGGAGAUGCUAACAAUGUAGAUGUUCCAGAGGUCUUCAUCAGUGUGGAAGCCAGGAGAUACUAACAAUGUAGAUGUUCCAAAGGUCUUCAUCAGUGUGGAAGCCAGGAGAUACUAACAAUGUAGAUGUUCCAAAAGGUCUUCAUCAGUGUGGAAGCCAGGAGAUACUAACAAUGUAGAUGUUCCAAAAGGUCUUCAUCAGUGUGGAAGCCAGGAGAUGCUAACAAUGUAGAUGUUCCAAAGGUCUUCAUCAGUGUGGAAGCCAGGAGAUACUAACAAUGUAGAUGUUCCAAAGGUCUUCAUCAGUGUGGAAGCCAGGAGAUGCUAACAAUGUAGAUGUUCCAAAGGUCUUCAUCAGUGUGGAAGCCAGGAGAUACUAAAAAUGUAGAUGUUCCAGAGGUCUUCAUCAGUGUGGAAGCCAGGAGAUACUAACAAUGUAGAUGUUCCAGAGGUCUUCAUCAGUGUGGAAGCCAGGAGAUACUAACAAUGUAGAUGUUCCAGAGGUCUUCAUCAGUGUGGAAGCCAGGAGAUGCUAACAAUGUAGAUGUUCCAAAAGGUCUUCAUCAGUGUGGAAGCCAGGAGAUGCUAACAAUGUAGAUGUUCCAAAAGGUCUUCAUCAGUGUGGAAGCCAGGAGAUGCUAACAAUGUAGAUGUUCCAGAGGUCUUCAUCAGUGUGGAAGCCAGGAGAUACUAACAAUGUAGAUGUUCCAGAGGUCUUCAUCAGUGUGGAAGCCAGGAGAUGCUAACAAUGUAGAUGUUCCAGAGGUCUUCAUCAGUGUGGAAGCCAGGAGAUACUAACAAUGUAGAUGUUCCAGAGGUCUUCAUCAGUGUGGAAGCCAGGAGAUGCUAACAAUGUAGAUGUUCCAGAGGUCUUCAUCAGUGUGGAAGCCAGGAGAUACUAACAAUGUAGAUGUUCCAGAGGUCUUCAUCAGUGUGGAAGCCAGGAGAUGCUAACAAUGUAGAUGUUCCAAAGGUCUUCAUCAGUGUGGAAGCCAGGAGAUACUAACAAUGUAGAUGUUCCAGAGGUCUUCAUCAGUGUGGAAGCCAGGAGAUACUAACAAUGUAGAUGUUCCAGAGGUCUUCAUCAGUGUGGAAGCCAGGAGAUGCUAACAAUGUAGAUGUUCCAGAGGUCUUCAUCAGUGUGGAAGCCAGCAGAUGCUAACAAUGUAGAUGUUCCAGAGGUCUUCAUCAGUGUGGAAGCCAGGAGAUGCUAACAAUGUAGAUGUUCCAGAGGUCUUCAUCAGUGUGGAAGCCAGGAGAUACUAACAAUGUAGAUGUUCCAGAGGUCUUCAUCAGUGUGGAAGCCAGGAGAUGCUAACAAUGUAGAUGUUCCAAAGGUCUUCAUCAGUGUGGAAGCCAGGAGAUACUAACAAUGUAGAUGUUCCAGAGGUCUUCAUCAGUGUGGAAGCCAGGAGAUACUAACAAUGUGUUUGUUAAUUAACGGUCAAUUACCUUGAGACCGGCAGUUAUUUGCUUUGACAAUCACGGCUGACAAAAUGUAAUGACCGCCACAGCCCUAGUGAUGACUUGAUAUUUCAGAGAAUUAAUUCUGUAAAUGCCACAGAUGUCAGCUCAAGCAGAAAUCCCCUUUAAAAGUUGAUUGCAGUGCACUCGUCAUCAAAGACACUGCGUUUCAUUUUAUGUCGGCCAAAGUACAUUUUUAUAUUUUAAAAGGUACUUAUCAUCCUGUAAAAUAUCCUUACUACCCACCAGAAUUGUUCAUUACACUUUUUAUUAUUCUGUUUGCAAAAUUGUAUUGUUUUACUGUAGUGUGUUGCGAUUUUAAAUGCACUUUUAAAAAAUUCAGUUAGAUUUGAUUUUAUACAGGUCUAGGGUAGGUAGUCAAAGACACUGCAUUUGAUUUGAAUCUUGGACAAAGUACAUUUUAUAUUUCAAGGUAACUAAUGAUCCCGUAAAAUCCUAACUGCCAUAACUGUUCUUACCUCCCUCUACAGGUCUAGUGCGGAAGCACAGGGCAAAAAAAUCUUCAUGGACAUCUGCCAGGAGGCUGGAAUGGUGGAGGUCUUACCCUACCAUGAAUGUGACGUCAUUUCAAGGGAACGACCCAACUACCUCCACUGUCUAGUUCGCCUACAGGUCCAGAAUGUAUCGGCUCGUUUACCUGUAUUUAUAACUGACACAACGGCAGACAAAGCGUUUGCAAAACAUGGGAUCUUCACAAUGAAUAUAAACUCUUUCCUGCUGAUUUCUCAGAGUGACACAUGCACUAUUUCUUAAGCUGAUGGGGGAAGCUGUCCACAGAAGUCCUCAGUACAUCAAAAUGCAAUGACGUUCUAUUUAUAAAGCCCUUGUUUUAGUUGUCAGAAAGUUGUCAAAGUGAUUUAAAUUAACCCAACCAAGAGGCUAAUGAGCAGCGGCAAAGAGAUAGUCUAAGGAAACCUUCAAACCUCGAGAGGAACCACUCAGAAGGGGGAGGCCCCUUUAAGAAAUAAACAUUUCUAUUCCAAAAAUCCACUUUUUGUGGAAUUCUUGGGAGUUCUCUCAGAAAUGUAAUACAUACUGACGAUCUAACCCAGAUCUAAAUUAUUGUAGUGUAAGAAUACAAAAAAACAUUUUUUUGUUUGUCAAGGCUAAGAACAUUUACUUAGAUCAACGUUUUGGUUCCUUUGUGUAAAUUGCCUUUAAUUUCAUGUAGAUAUAUUUAUUUGUAAUAUUAUUUUUUUUCUAACAGGUAGAUUGUGUAUAGAUUAACAUCUGUUUCGGCAUUAUAUUUCUUCAAUUGUGUAUUUAUCUGUAUGUUUGUAAAGACAUUUAUUGUACUUUUGCGACAUAAAGAAAUUGAAGUAG